rnacentral:rRNA from 1 species
GAUGAACGCUAGCGGCAGGCCUAACACAUGCAAGUCGAGGGGUAGAACACUUCGGUGUUUGAGACCGGCGCACGGGUGCGUAACGCGUAUGCAAUCUACCUUGUACAGGGGAAUAGCCCAGAGAAAUUUGGAUUAAUGCCCCAUAGUAUAUAACCUUCGCAUGUUGGUUAUAUUAAAGUUCCAACGGUACAAGAUGAGCAUGCGUCCCAUUAGUUAGUUGGUAAGGUAACGGCUUACCAAGACGAUGAUGGGUAGGGGUCCUGAGAGGGAGAUCCCCCACACUGGUACUGAGACACGGACCAGACUCCUACGGGAGGCAGCAGUGAGGAAUAUUGGUCAAUGGGCGCAAGCCUGAACCAGCCAUGCCGCGUGCAGGAAGACGGUCCUAUGGAUUGUAAACUGCUUUUAUACAGGAAGAAACAACUCUACGUGUAGAGUCUUGACGGUACUGUAGGAAUAAGGAUCGGCUAACUCCGUGCCAGCAGCCGCCGUAACAC